ACGCGGGGUGCUGCUACGGCGGCUGAGAGAUGAGACCCGUUGAACCUGAUCUAGUUCGUACUAGCGAAGGGACGUUAUGU
rnacentral:ncRNA from 1 species